UGUUAGCUACUAAGAUCGAAGAUGAUUACUCGACUACCUUUUUCCUUUCCACAGUUAUCAACUAAUCCUCUUGCUUCUCGAUCUAAAAUCAAUAGCUUAAUUAAUUUACUUAAUUCAACCAUCCAAAAUAUUUAUGUACAAGCCAUUAAAUUUUUAAUUACAUUUUCCUUAUUUUCUCUCAACAUAAACUUUUAAUACAAACUAAUCCUCAAUUAAAAAUCAUGAAAUUCAACCACUAUCAACAAAAUAUCAUGUUAACCAUUUUUCCCUAAGGUUCAACACAAUUCAUAUUUUCCAUUCAUUCACAUAAUACUCCUUAAACUUACCAUUUUCAUAAAUAAAUCCUUAAGCUUUAAAAUAAUCAAGAAUCAUUCCAUAAAUAUGUCUAUUAAACUCCCAAAUUUAAAACCCCCCAAAAAAAAACCUAGAAUUGAAUUUCUCAACAAUAGCACUUUUCACAAAUAUCAUUAAUUCUCAAAAUUUCAACAUGAGUAAGCUACUACAUGAUUUUAAGGAUCCAAAAAUAUAUAAUUUAAUUAAAAAGGGCCAAAACAUACCAAUCAAAUUAAGCUUCAACUUAAACAACAAUGGCCAAAUGUCUCUUUUCUUCCCUCACCAUUUCGGCAUACAAAACCAUAAAGAAGAAAAAUGUUUUUUUUUCUUCUUUCUUUUAUUAACUUCUCCACUAUCUAUUUCUCAUCUUUAUUUUAUUUUAUUUUAUUUUAGUUAUAAUAGUUUAAUAUAACACAUAUAUUAUAGUUAACAUAGUGUAUAUAUUACAUACAUAUAAAUAUGAUAUGACCGCCCACUUAAUUAAACAAUAAGGUUAUAAUUGCUUUUCAAGUCCUUUAGUUAUAAAUUAGUUUAUAGUUUAAUAACCAUUACACUUUUAUCAUUUAAGCAAUUAAGUCCAUACACCUCAAAUUACGCACUAAUUCAACGAAAUUGUCUAACUGAAAUUUAAUUCGUUUUUAAAAUAACUCCGUAAAUACUAUAUAAAAAUAUUUACAAGUCUGGUUUAUGAAAACGAGGUCCCGAUACCUCAAUUUUUGAAAUCAUCGACUUUAGGACCGAUACACAUGUACCUUAUCUAACUUCCAAAUAACCAAAAUUACUAUAUCAAACUUUAAUAUAAUACUGUACUAUCCUCGUAAAUAUUAAUAAAUAAUAUUCAUUGAUCCUAUCAUCAAAAAAUAGUAUUACGAAACCACCGUUCCUGACUUCACUGACUUUUGGGUUGUUACAGUACUUGAGACAAAGAGAUAUCUUUGUUCGAAAUUUGCCAUGAAAGACAUUAGGGAAGCAAAUGUUAUGUGGGAUGUUAAAAGCAUAAAGAAAGGUGAUAUGCUAUCAAAAGAAUAUUAUGUUUAGAAACUUCUAAAGAAGUAUGAACACUUUGAUGUCAAAUCAAUGAGUAUUCCUUUUGAUAUUAGCUAUCAAUUGAGAAAAAUAAAUGUGAGCCUAUUUCUCAAUCAGAGUAUGCACAGGCUAUUAGAAGUCUAAUUCAUUUAAUAAUUGUAUGUUGACUAUGUAGAUCCCAAAUCAUAAACAAUGGGUUGCUAUAGUUAGGCUUGUGAAAUAUUUGGAGAGUACCAAAAAUUAUGCUUAUUUAUUGGAUUUCUCACUAUAUUAAAAGUAUAAAAAUAUGCUAACUGGAUUUCAAAUUCAAGUCAAAUAAAAUCCACUAGUGGUUAUAUAUUCACCCUUAGUGGUGGUGAAAUAUUGUGGAGAUCAACCAAACUAUUAUAGAAAAAUCUAUUAUGAAGUUAGAGUAUAUUUCUCUGGAAUGGUUGGUAAUGAGGUUGAGUCAUUGGAAAACUUCUUAGCAAGUAUGUCAUUGGGCACAUAACCAAUAGCUUUUGUGUAUUGUGGUUGCUAAUUGAUAAUAGCCAUUGCAAAGAAUAAAACUUUCAAUGGAAAAAAGUAGACAUAUUUAUCUAAGACAUGAAGUGAUUAAGCAGCUGCAAGUCAAUUGAUUAUGUGAUGUUGGCGAUGAAUUUGGAAGAUCCUCUGACUAAACCCCUGGGGAAGAAACUAAUAAAUGAAACAACAAGGGAAAUGAGACUUUUGCCAAAAUAUGAGGUCGACAAUGAUGGAAACCCAACUUAUGUGAUUGGAUAUCCCAUGAAUUAGGUCCAUAUGGGUAAGAACGAAGUCAUUAGUUAACUUGUUAAGCACUAUAAGAUUAAGUCCAUCCUAUGGUGUAAACAAUGCUUGAACAAACAAAAACUGCAUGGAUGGUGAGGAUGAGUAAAAGCUCUUAAUCAAAUCAAUAUCCACCAUAAGUGGUGUGUUGCUCUACAGAAUACACCUGAUGGAUUGAGCUAUGAGAUUUUUGGUAGUCUUUAGAGUACUCUUGAAAACUAGGUGUGUUCAUGGUCUAUUAGUGCACAAUCACGUUAAACAACAAUAGUAUAGGUAUAAUGUGAUUCAUGAGACCUAUAAUUUACAAAAAGAAUUAUUGGUUCAUAAAAUCAUGUUUCACCAAUUAUUCUUGUAAAUUAAGUCCCAUUCAUUUUAGUUUCGAUUCAUAAUCCAAAAGACACUAGAGUCGAUGCAUUAUAUCUAGAUAAAAGAUACUUAGCAAAAUUUUGUCCUAGGUUCUUUAGAAAUAUAUGGGGAAUUGUUGGAAAAUUUGAGAUAUUUCAAAAGAAUUGUUGGACAAAACACGUUAGUGAACAAAAAUAUAUAAAUAUAAAUAAACAAGCAUUUAUAUAUAUAAAAUAAAAUAAAUUGAAUAAUUUAUAUUUAAAUUAUCGGAUACGAAAAAAUCUGCAUUAAAUGACCAUGUAUAAUGGAGACAAAAUCUACAUUAAAGGGGCAAUUAAAUCAAUUUGAUUAAAAUCAAAUCAAAUUGAUUAGAAUCAAAUAAAAUCAGGAUAUAUAUUUCCUUUUAAAUUAUAUUUUUGUAUAUAUUUUCUAAGGAAAAAAUAAAUUUCGUGUUGGGCUAAAAUAUCCGUAAACCUAUUUUGGGCCCAACCAGUCUAGACAGUUCGCAUCGCCCACAUCGUGUAGGUGUGCCCUAACCCUAACGAGUUUGGACUUGUAUCCCAUCUGCGGGCGAGAUAAGGUUUCAAGCUUAGUCAUUUAAUCACCCUUCAAGUGGGUUCUCAUAUAUAUACACAUCUCACACUUGGUAUUUAACCAAUUUGGGAUCUAAGCUUUUCUUUUCCUCAACAAAUAUUUCCAAGUAGCUUACUUUGAGCAUCAAUUUCUCAUUCAUCACUCAACCAUUUUAAGCAUAUGAUAUACCGCGUGAAGGUCUCAUGAGUAGAAUAUAAAACCAUAAUUUUAUGAUUCAAUUCUUCACCUUUACCAAUUGAGAAUAUGUCUCAAAGUUACAAAAAAUUACAAUUUUUCCAACAAGAAUCAAACCCCACAUUCCUAAAGUUGAGACACUUGUUUAUAAGCCAUUAUACUUCAUUAAACUAAUAAGAACCAAAUUGAAAGGGCAGACUCGUGCAUUAGGCCUAAAAGGCUAGUGUAAUGUACAUAUGAUCCCUUUUGUUUUAGGAAAUACUCAUUACUGAAUUUUUUAGAGUGCAAGAAAAGUGAACUUCUUAACUUGUAACAACUAUAUUUAGUCAAGCUAAAAAUAGCUUAAUCAAUUGGAGUUAUUUUUAGUUAAGUCCAACUUCAUUGAAUCACUUUCAAACUAUUUUUAGCUAACUUAAUUCACUUACCUUUGCUAUUUUUAGAUAGCAAAACUCCUAUAUAUACCAUGACUCAUUUUCACUUUUAUACAGCUUAAGAAAGUCUUUCAUUCUCUUCUCGCUCCUUCUCUCCUACUUUUGAAUUUUUUGAGUAUUUUUUAUUACAAUAUAUUGUUAGGUUCUUGUUUCCCGUUUUAUAACAAAAGAGUUUGUUGAAUCUUGAGGAUACACUAUACGGCAAAAUAUCCUUUAAGAUAGUGCUCAACAUGCCUCAAGAUAUUCAACUCGUAAUCUUAUUUCAUUAAAUUGAUGAAUAUUUACAACAACCUAAGUGUCAAACUCAAAUUACAAAACUCAAAAUAACUCAAACUUAAAACCAUUGAUCGGCUAAUCAAAUACAAAAAUCCUGACUGGCUAAUCGAAUAUAUCAACUCAAAAUUAUCUAAAUUUAAAACUGCACCAAACUCAAACAGAAACGAUUACAAAAUUUUAACCCUCAAAUUCAUGCAACCAAAACCCAACUUGGUCCACCCGAAUCACGGGUAUAUUUCCAUGCAAUGUGUAAAACAUGGAGGCAAAGUGCAAAUUAAGAAAAAUAUUCAUUACUGCCUAGUUCCAACAGCUAUUUAAAUAGCAACCGCAACGAUCUCAUACUACGAGUACCAUAUGUUCUAUGGUUUCAGCCUUUUUUACCAUCACCAAAAUUUAUCCUAUAGUAAUAACAUUUACAUGACAGAAAAUAUAUUCGUAAAUCAUAAUUUAAAUCCCUAACCACCACUACUUGCGUAUUAUAUGUAGUCUUUAUAUACGUCACUCAUGCAACAUUUAAAAAAAAUACCCUUGAGAAUAGGAACAAUGGAAGCCUGCCUGCCUGCCUGUAGCGGCGGUGCCUUCGCUUACUUGUUGGACUCGGGAUUUGGACCACUAGGCACCUCGUGAGCUGCUGCCUUGAACUGAGGCGGUUCCGUCACAGCAGGCGUAGCUGCAGAAGUAGGAAAAGAGUUGAAAUUUGUGGGUGAAGAUGUUGAAGUGAAGGCUGACGAUGAUAUGCAAAGAGAGGAGAAAUCAUAAUCAGAAGCAGAAGAAGAAAGAGGAGAAGGAGGGCAUAAUAUUGAGGGGAUUUUGUUGGGGUUUGAGAGAUUGAAGUUUCACGUGUAAUUGCCAUGAAAUAAAUUACUAGCCCCCUCUGCUCCACAAAGGUUCAAUAUCCAUCAACCACUCCAACUCUGGUUUCUUUUCUAAAGUAAACUAAAUGCAAGAGAUAAAGAGGAACAAGACGAUAAAGUAAUGGUGGAAUUAAUUAAUUUGUGAAAGUUGAAACACAAAAAUUUGAUGCAUUUUUCAGGAAUUUAUAUAAUAUUGAAUAUAAAAGUUAAUAGUACGGCCUCUUUUAUCAAAUACCCUUACUACCC
rnacentral:lncRNA from 1 species